CUGCAGUCGAAGCUGAAGCUUGGGUGCUUGCAUCUGGGUGGAUGAGUGGCGAACGGGUGAGUAAUACGUGAGUAACCUGCCCUUGACUCUGGGAUAAGCCUGGGAAACUGGGUCUAAUACUGGAUACUACAUUCUCUCGCAUGGGGGUGUGUGGAAAGGGUUUUACUGGUUUUGGAUGGGCUCACGGCCUAUCAGCUUGUUGGUGGGGUAAUGGCCUACCAAGGCGACGACGGGUAGCCGGCCUGAGAGGGUGACCGGCCACACUGGGACUGAGACACGGCCCAGACUCCUACGGGAGGCAGCAGUGGGGAAUAUUGCACAAUGGGCGAAAGCCUGAUGCAGCGACGCCGCGUGAGGGAUGACGGCCUUCGGGUUGUAAACCUCUUUCAGCACGGAAGAAGCGAAAGUGACGGUACGUGCAGAAGAAGCGCCGGCUAACUACGUGCCAGCAGCCGCGGUAAUACGUAGGGCGCAAGCGUUGUCCGGAAUUAUUGGGCGUAAAGAGCUCGUAGGCGGUUUGUCGCGUCUGCUGUGAAAGCCCGGGGCUUAACCCCGUGGUGUGCAGUGGGUACGGGCAGACUAGAGUGCAGUAGGGGAGACUGGAAUUCCUGGUGUAGCGGUGAAAUGCGCAGAUAUCAGGAGGAACACCGAUGGCGAAGGCAGGUCUCUGGGCUGUUACUGACGCUGAGGAGCGAAAGCAUGGGGAGCGAACAGGAUUAGAUACCCUGGUAGUCCAUGCCGUAAACGUUGGGCACUAGGUGUGGGGGACAUUCCACGUUUUCCGCGCCGUAGCUAACGCAUUAAGUGCCCCGCCUGGGGAGUAC
rnacentral:rRNA from 1 species